rnacentral:snRNA from 1 species
AUAUACUAAAAUUUAGACUGAAACUGGAAUGAUGCAGAGAAGAUGAGCACAGCCCCUGCACAAGGAUGACACACCAAUUUGUGAAGCAUUCCAUAGUUUU